CGGGGGGGGCGAGCGUUGUUCGGAAUUACUGGGCGUAAAGGGUUUGUAGGUGGUCUGCUAAGUCAGACGUGAAAUCCCUCGGCUUAACCGGGGAACUGCGUCUGAUACUGGAUGGCUUGAGUGUGGGAGAGGGAUGCGGAAUUCCAGGUGUAGCGGUGAAAUGCGUAGAUAUCUGGAGGAACACCGGUGGCGAAGGCGGCAUCCUGGACCAUUACUGACACUGAAAAGCGAAAGCCAGGGGAGCAAACGGG
rnacentral:rRNA from 1 species